rnacentral:rRNA from 1 species
UACUUAGGGCGCAAGCGUUGUCCGGAAUUAUUGGGCGUAAAGAGCUCGUAGGCGGUUUGUCGCGUCUGGUGUGAAAACUCAAGGCUCAACCUUGAGCUUGCAUCGGGUACGGGCAGACUAGAGUGUGGUAGGGGUGACUGGAAUUCCUGGUGUAGCGGUGGAAUGCGCAGAUAUCAGGAGGAACACCGAUGGCGAAGGCAGGUCACUGGGCCACUACUGACGCUGAGGAGCGAAAGCAUGGGGAGCGAACA